UUGAAUAUAUAUUAUUUGUACAACUCGUUUAUUGAAUGUUGGUUUGUUUUUGUUUUGUACUUGGUGGGAACUGUUUGCGUGUCCUGUGUUGCGCUGGGACGCAUUUGAUUGCAACAAUCGCAGGUGAACAUGUGGUUGAAGCUAGAAGUGCAAGUAAGUGAAGCAAGUAAGAGAAGCUAGAAGUGCAAGUAAGUGAAGCUAGGAAGAGUAAGUAAGUGAAGCAAGUAAGAGAAGCUAGGAAGUGCAAGUAAGUGAAGCUAGGAAGUGCAAGUAAGAGAAGAAUACAUGUCUAAAGUGGACCCAUUCCCUCGUGGUUUAUGUGCAGCCAGUGAGUUCGACGGUGGAUUGAAGGUGGAUGGCGAAGUGCGCCCGCAUCCAAUAAACAUCUGUCAGUAAAGAAAAAGAACAACGGUGGCGUCUAGUUCCUGGAGGGAGUGAUAGUCGAACUCAAGCCUGCUGAUUCCCCGGACCUGCUCGUGCAAGACAGCUCGUCAAGACGGAGUCACAGCCACACUGUUAAAGGACACACCAGUUCAUCCAUUUUUCAUGAAGACGUCCUUCGACGGUGGAUUGAAGGUGGAUGGCGAAGUGCGCCCGCAUCCAAUAAACAUCUGUCAGUAAAGAAAAAGAACAACGGUGGCGU